rnacentral:sRNA from 1 species
UUGCUAUCCCGGAUCUAGUAUCAGAAACACGUAGGCCUGCCUUCUUUGCCUCGCCCCAGUCCAACCAACCAAUGUCAUGCAUAUAAAUCAAAGCGUCCCUAACACUUGGGUGCUUAGAGAUCUCGCUUGUUGCUUGGAAAAAUGAAGUCUCUUCUGUCAAUGUCAAUUAUGCUCGUAUCAUUCACGUCUGCAACAGCAAACAGAACAGGGGUUUGUCAGAAUGAAUAAAAAUGCUUUUGUCAGUUUUCGGAUUCUCGGUAUAUUGACUUGGAACCUAUAGGAGAUAUAAGAUUUAAAGACAAGAGUUUUUCCUUGGACUCUACAUUACGAAAUUCAGCUUUGUGAAACAUUUAGUGAGAGAACAUGUGAACAUGUGUUGGGCUGCCAGGUUCCUUUGUUUGGCAAGACGUUUUCAAUAGGCAGCAGCCUAAGUUUUGUCUCUGAAACUCUUAUUGAAUUGCUGAAU